rnacentral:rRNA from 1 species
GACGAACGCUGGCGGCGUGCCUAAUACAUGCAAGUCGAACGCUGAAGCUUGGUGCUUGCACCGAGCGGAUGAGUUGCGAACGGGUGAGUAACGCGUAGGUAACCUGCCUGGUAGCGGGGGAUAACUAUUGGAAACGAUAGCUAAUACCGCAUAACAGUAGAUAUCGCAUGAUAGCUACUUGAAAGGUGCAAAUGCACCACUACCAGAUGGACCUGCGUUGUAUUAGCUAGUUGGUGAGGUAACGGCUCACCAAGGCAACGAUACAUAGCCGACCUGAGAGGGUGAUCGGCCAAACUGGGACUGAGAAAAGGCCCAGACUCCUACGGGAGGCAGCAGUAGGGAAUCUUCGGCAAUGGACGGAAGUCUGACCGAGCAAAGCCGCGUGAGUGAAGAAGGUUUUCGGAUCGUAAAGCUCUGUUGUAAGAGAAGAACGAGUGUGAGAGUGGAAAGUUCACACUGUGACGGUAUCUUACCAGAAAGGGACGGCUAACUACGUG